AGAGUUUGAUCCUGGCUCAGGAUGAACGUUGGCGGCGUGCCUAAUACAUGCAAGUCGAACGGAGAUAGCAAUAUCUGAGUGGCGCACGGGUGAGUAACACGUAGCUUACCUACCCUAGAGAACGGGAUAACGUUCCGAAAGGAAUGCUAAUACCGCAUAAGCUCACGAUCUGUAGAGGGUUGUGAGAAAAGGAGAAAUCCGCUCUAGGAUGGGGCUGCGGCCCAUCAGCUAGUUGGCGAGGUAACGGCUCACCAAGGCGACGACGGGUAGGGGACCUGAGAGGGUGACCCCCCACACUGGGACUGAGACACGGCCCAGACUCCUACGGGAGGCAGCAGUAAGGAAUAUUGCACAAUGGGCGAAAGCCUGAUGCAGCGACGCCGCGUGGGUGAUGAAGGUCUUCGGAUCGUAAAGCCCUUUUCUGCGUGACGAGAAAAAGGACAGUAGCGCAGGAAUAAGUCUCGGCUAACUACGUGCCAGCAGCCGCGGUAAAACGUAGGAGACAAACGUUAUCCGGAGUUACUGGGCGUAAAGGGCGUGUAGGCGGUUUAUUAAGUUCGUCGUGAAAUAGCUCGGCUUAACCGGGCGGGGUCGAUGGAUACUGGUAGACUUGAGGACGGUAGAGGCGUGUGGAAUUCCGGGUGUAGUGGUGGAAUGCGUAGAUAUCCGGAGGAACACCAGUGGCGAAGGCGACACGCUGGGCCGUACCUGACGCUAAAGCGCGACAGCAUGGGGAGCGAACGGGAUUAGAAACCCCGGUAGUCCAUGCCGUAAACGAUGUCAACUGGGUGUUCGGGGGGGGAAACCUUCCUGGGUACCGAAGCAAACGCGAUAAGUUGACCGCCUGGGGAGUACGGUCGCAAGGCUAAAACUCAAAGGAAUUGACGGGGGCCCGCACAAGCAGCGGAGCGUGUGGUUUAAUUCGAGGCUACACGAAGAACCUUACCUGGGUUUGACAUAUAAGUGGUAGUGAACUGAAAAGGGAACGACCUUCGAGAGCUUAUACAGGUGCUGCAUGGCUGUCGUCAGCUCGUGCCGUGAGGUGUUCGGUUAAGUCCGCAAACGAGCGCAACCCUCGGCGUUAGUUACAAGUGUCUAACGCGACUGCCCGUGAGAAACGGGAGGAAGGUGGGGAUGACGUCAAGUCAGCAUGGCCUUUAUAUCCAGGGCUACACACACGCUACAAUGGUCGGUACAACAGGUUGCGAAGCCGCGAGGUGAAGCCAAUCCCCAAAGCCGAUCGUAGUUCGGAUUGCAGGCUGCAACUCGCCUGCAUGAAGUCGGAGUUGCUAGUAACCGCAGGUCAGCUAUACUGCGGUGAAUACGUUCCCGGGCCUUGUACACACCGCCCGUCACGUCAUGGGAGCUGGUCACGCCUGAAGUCGGGAAGGUAACCGCAAGGAGCCUACCGCCGAGGGCAGGGCCGGUGACUAGGACGAAGUCGUAACAAGGUA
rnacentral:rRNA from 1 species